GCCGCCGUGGAUUAGUGGGAGAUCGUCCUCGUUCAAUGGGUCAUUCACAUAUUUCCCUUAGGGAAGAGGUGGGUUCGAUUCCCACCGGUGGCA